UUGGGCGUAAGAGCUCGUAGGCGGUUUGUCGCGUCUGCUGUGAAAGCCCGGGGCUCAACCCCGGGUCUGCAGUGGGUACGGGCAGACUAGAGUGCAGUAGGGGAGACUGGAAUUCCUGGUGUAGCGGUGAAAUGCGCAGAUAUCAGGAGGAACACCGAUGGCGAAGGCAGGUCUCUGGGCUGUAACUGACGCUGAGGAGCGAAAGCAUGGGGAGCGAACAGGAUUAGAUACCCUGGUAGUCCAUGCCGUAAACGUUGGGCACUAGGUGUGGGGGACAUUCCACGUUUUCCGCGCCGUAGCUAACGCAUUAAGUGCCCCGCCUGGGGAGUACGGCCGCAAGGCUAAAACUCAAAGGAAUUGACGGGGGCCCGCACAAGCGGCGGAGCAUGCGGAUUAAUUCGAUGCAACGCGAAGAACCUUACCAAGGCUUGACAUGGACCGGACCGCCGCAGAAAUGCGGUUUCCCUUCGGGGCUGGUUUACAGGUGGUGCAUGGUUGUCGUCAGCUCGUGUCGUGAGAUGUUGGGUUAAGUCCCGCAACGAGCGCAACCCUCGUUCUAUGUUGCCAGCGCGUUAUGGCGGGGACUCAUAGGAGACUGCCGGGGUCAACUCGGAGGAAGGUGGGGACGACGUCAAAUCAUCAUGCCCCUUAUGUCUUGGGCUUCACGCAUGCUACAAUGGCCGGUACAAAGGGUUGCGAUACUGUGAGGUGGAGCUAAUCCCAAAAAGCCGGUCUCAGUUCGGAUUGAGGUCUGCAACUCGACCUCAUGAAGUCGGAGUCGCUAGUAAUCGCAGAUCAGCAACGCUGCGGUGAAUACGUUCCCGGGCCUUGUACACACCGCCCGUCAAGUCACGAAAGUUGGUAACACCCGAAGCCGGUGGCCUAACCCCUUGUGGGAGGGAGCCGUCGAAGGUGGGACCGGCGAUUGGGACGAAGUCGUACAGGG
rnacentral:rRNA from 1 species